rnacentral:ncRNA from 2 species
AUCUCAUCCAGAGAGGCGUAGGGAUCGGCCCGUUGAUGCCUCGGCAACCGGCGAAAGCCUUCGCUCGGUGCUAAUUCCGGCCUGAAGAUUCAGGGAAGAUGAGGG